rnacentral:rRNA from 1 species
GGCUUAGGAUGAACGCUAGCGACAGGCUUAACACAUGCAAGUCGAGGGGCAGCAUAAAAGUAGCAAUACGUUGGUGGCGACCGGCGCACGGGUGAGUAACGCGUAUGCAACCUACCUGUCAGAGGGGAAUAACCCGGCGAAAGUCGGACUAAUACCGCAUAAAACAGGGGCACCGCAUGGUGAUAUUUGUUAAAGAAAUUCGCUGAUAGAUGGGCAUGCGUUCCAUUAGGUAGUUGGUGAGGUAACGGCUCACCAAGCCGACGAUGGAUAGGGGAACUGAGAGGUUGGUCCCCCACACUGGUACUGAGACACGGACCAGACUCCUACGGGAGGCAGCAGUGAGGAAUAUUGGUCAAUGGGCGGGAGCCUGAACCAGCCAAGUCGCGUUGAAGGAAGAAGGAUCUAUGGUUCGUAAACUUCUUUUGCAGGGGAAUAAAGUGCAGGACGUGUCCUGUUUUGUAUGUACCCCGAGAAUAAGGAUCGGCUAACUCCGUGCCAGCCGCAGC